rnacentral:misc_RNA from 1 species
GUUUGCUACCUUUGACAAGAAUGGAGAUGGCUUCAUAACUAAGCAAGAACUGAGAGAGUCGCUUAAGAAUAUAGGAAUCUUCAUAACAGCGAAGGAAGUUGAAGAAAUGGUAGUGAAGUUUGAUUCUAAUGGAGAUGGAUUGAUAGAUUAUGAAGAGUUUUGUCUCUUGUGCGACUACUCCAAGGCAGGUGGUGAUCAGGAGUUGGGGGAUGAUGACAGUGGUGGUGGGAAAGGAAGAGCAGAAGAAGAAGGAGAUUUGAAGGAAGCAUUUGAUGUGUUUGAUAAGGAUAAAAAUGGGUUGAUAACGGUUGAAGAACUGGGAUUGGUGUUGUGUUCUUUGGGAUUAAAGGAAGGAAA